GGAUGCGAUCAUACCAGCGACUACA
rnacentral:rRNA from 1 species